rnacentral:rRNA from 1 species
CUUGGUCAUUUAGAGGAAGUAAAAGUUGUAACAAGGUUUCCGUAGGUGAACCUGCGGAAGGAUCAUUAACAAAUCCAAUACUUGUGGGGGACUACCAAGUCCAUCUGCAAAUAUUAAUCCGCCGGCUUUAACCAGCUGGCUGUGAUAAAAUAUAAAUGCGUGUUAUGUUGACAGUGUGUGAUUAAUGUUAAUUUAUUGACAACUUUUAACAAUGGAUCUCUAGGCUCUUGCAGCGAUGAAGAACGCAGCAAAGUGCGAAAAGUGAUGCGAUUUGCACGAAUCUGUGAGUCAUCUAAUCUUUGAACGCGAAUGGCACUGCUAUGUAAGUAGCAGUAUGUCUGUUUGAGAAUCGCAAACACGAUCAACUCUAGUUAAGAGUUGGAACUGACCUCAUAUGCUAUUGCGUGUAUUUGGUUUGAAUGUAUUAAGUUGAUGAGCUUCCCAAUGUUGCUCAAUGUGUGCUAGCGAGACAGUCGUCCCGAACUCACAUUCUAGCUUCAUUGCAAAGUUCUAAGCACAACUUUUUAAGUUUCGUCAUCAAUUACGAUCUCAAAUCAGGCAAGAUUACCCGCUGAACUUAAGCAUAUCAAUAAGCGGAGGA